UCCGUCUGAGAUGGAUCAACUCCUUAAGGGACUGGAUGAAGAGACCAAUGACAUCACAGCACACAGACAGGCUGCAGCCUUGAAGGGCCUUCCUUUGUAUAUCUGUGAAAGUCAUGAGAAGCUGUUCAGGAGUUGUCUGGAUACUGACCCAGAAGAGGAGCAGACAAAGCCUCAUUGUGGGGAUACUUACUAUGGAGGAUGAUCAAAGUACGGCUCCGGCAAGUUGCAAAUGUAGCUGUGGUUCUAGAAGAAGACAUCGUCUUACAAGACCUCCCUGACCUGCUAACGGCCUUUGCUUUGCUCUUUGGGCUGAUAUGCCUCAAACAUUCAG